rnacentral:rRNA from 1 species
GACGAACCGUGCAAACGUUAUUCGGAAUCACUGGGCUUAAAGGGCGCGUAGGCGGGCCGUCAGGUCCGAGGUGAAAGCCCACGGCUCAACCGUGGAAGUGCCUUGGAUACCGGCGGCCUCGAGGGAGGUAGGGGCGUGCGGAACUUCGGGUGGAGCGGUGAAAUGCGUAGAUAUCCGAAGGAACACCGGUGGCGAAAGCGGCGCGCUGGAUCUCUUCUGACGCUGAGGCGCGAAAGCCAGGGGAGCAAACGGG